GAUGAACGCUGGCGGCGUGCCUAAUACAUGCAAGUCGAGCGAACAGAUGAGGAGCUUGCUCCUCUGACGUUAGCGGCGGACGGGUGAGUAACACGUGGAUAACCUACCUAUAAGACUGGGAUAACUUCGGGAAACCGGAGCUAAUACCGGAUAAUAUAUUGAACCGCAUGGUUCAAUAGUGAAAGACGGUUUUGCUGUCACUUAUAGAUGGAUCCGCGCCGCACUAGCUAGUUGGUAAGGUAACGGCUUACCAAGGCAACGAUGCGUAGCCGACCUGAGAGGGUGAUCGGCCACACUGGAACUGAGACACGGUCCAGACUCCUACGGGAGGCAGCAGUAGGGAAUCUUCCGCAAUGGGCGAAAGCCUGACGGAGCAACGCCGCGUGAGUGAUGAAGGUCUUCGGAUCGUAAAACUCUGUUAUUAGGGAAGAACAAAUAUGUAAGUAACUAUGCACGUCUUGACGGUACCUAAUCAGAAAGCCACGGCUAACUACGUG
rnacentral:rRNA from 1 species